rnacentral:rRNA from 1 species
CGCAUCUGUGCAUGCAGCAUAUCAAUAAGCGGAGGAAAAGAAACUAACAAGGAUUCCCCUAGUAACGGCGAGUGAAGCGGGAAGAGCUCAAAUUUGAAAUCUUAAAGGGUUUCCCUUUACGAAUUGUAGUUUAAAGAAGUGUUUUCUGUUGAGGUUUAGGUAAAAGUUCUUUGGAAUAGGACAUCAUAGAGGGUGAGAAUCCCGUAUUUGACCUUUACUUUCAACUUUGUGAUACACUUUCAAAGAGUCGGAUUGUUUGGGAAUGCAGUCCAAAAUGGGUGGUAAAUUUCAUCUAAAGCUAAAUAUUGGCGAGAGACCGAUAGCGAACAAGUACCGUGAGGGAAAGAUGAAAAGAACUUUGAAAAGAGAGAUAAACAGUACGUGAAAUUGUCAAAAGGGAAGCGUUUGACACCAGUGUUGUUUUUCUGAAAAUCAAUUAAAGAACUGUUUAUGCUAAGCUGUUUAGACUUUAUCAGCUAACUGUUUAGUUUUGAGCUUUUCUUUAAUGCACUUUUCAGUUAACAAGUCAACAUCAAUUUCUUUUGCUGUAAAAAAGCUUGAGGAAGGUAGCUUGAGAUUCGUCUUAAGUGUUUAUAGCCUCUUGCCUAUGCAGUCGGAGAGAUUGAGGUCUGCAGCGUAGAUCCUUCGGGGCUAAAUGCAUUUGUGCUAAGUUAUAGCAUUUUAUAGACAACUUGUUGACUAUGAUUUGUCUUGUAGCUUACUCGCUUAUGUUAUUUUACCUACGCUUAGGAUGUUGAGCGCAUGUCUCUCUCU